rnacentral:tRNA from 1 species
AGAGAAAGAGAGGUAAACCCCCUCCUUAAUGAU